AGAGUUUGAUCAUGGCUCAGGAUGAACGCUAGCGGCAGGCCUAACACAUGCAAGUCGAGGGGUAGAGUGCUUCGGCACUUGAGACCGGCGUACGGGUGCGUAACGCGUGUACAAUCUACCUUUUGCUAAGGGAUAGCCCGAAGAAAUUUGGAUUAAUACCUUAUAGUAUAAUUUGGUGGCAUCAUUGAAUAAUUAAAGCUACGGUGGCAAAAGAUGAGUACGCGUCCCAUUAGCUAGUUGGAGUGGUAACGGCACACCAAGGCUACGAUGGGUAGGGGUUCUGAGAGGGAUGUCCCCCACACUGGUACUGAGACACGGACCAGACUCCUACGGGAGGCAGCAGUGAGGAAUAUUGGACAAUGGUCGGAAGACUGAUCCAGCCAUGCCGCGUGCAGGAUGACGGCCUUAUGGGUUGUAAACUGCUUUUGUAUGGGAAGAAUAAGGUCUACGUGUAGAUUGAUGACGGUACCAUACGAAUAAGCAUCGGCUAACUCCGUGCCAGCAGCCGCGGUAAUACGGAGGAUGCGAGCGUUAUCCGGAAUCAUUGGGUUUAAAGGGUCCGUAGGCGGGCUUAUAAGUCAGAGGUGAAAGCACUGAGCUCAACUGAGUAACUGCCUUUGAAACUGUAGGUCUUGAAUAUUUGUGAAGUAGCUGGAAUGUGUAGUGUAGCGGUGAAAUGCAUAGAUAUUACACAGAACACCGAUUGCGAAGGCAUGUUACUAACAAAUUAUUGACGCUGAUGGACGAAAGCGUGGGGAGCGAACAGGAUUAGAUACCCUGGUAGUCCACGCUGUAAACGAUGGAUACUAGC
rnacentral:rRNA from 1 species